rnacentral:rRNA from 1 species
UGAGGAAUAUUGCGCAAUGGGCGCAAGCCUGACGCAGCGACACCGCGUGAAGGAUGAAGGCUUUCGGGUCGUAAACUUCUGUUAAGUGGGAAGAAAAAGCUGGCCCUAAUAUGGCCAAGAUAAUGACGGUACCACUAGAGAAAGCACCGGCUAACUUCGUGCCAGCAGCCGCGGUAAGACGAGGGGUGCAAACGUUAUUCGGAAUGAUUGGGUGUAAAGGGUGCGUAGGCGGUAUGUUAAGUCAAUCGUUAAAUUUUUCAGCUUAACUGAAAGUCAGCGGUAGAAACUGGCGUACUUGAGGAUGGAAGAGAGAAGUAGAAUUCUCGGAGUAGCGGUAAAAUGCGUAGAUCUCGAGAGGAAUACCAAUGGCGAAGGCAGCUUCUUGGUCCAUAUCUGACGC